UCACUCUUCCUUUCCAUUUUCUUACGUCUUUCUCCAUAGUCGGUGUUAACUUAAGGCCGCGAGAAAGACAAAAAGGAACAAGAUGGUAUCCCUACUACUUCUCUAUUGGACAGAAAUUUAACUUGUUGGUUUGCCCCUUCCAAAGUAAGCUCAUGUCUCUAUAUUGUAGGGUUUUUAGAUCUAUUCACAUUUGCUUGGGUUUGGAUUUUUAACUCAAUUUACAAGUUAUUCCAGCAAUUUGAUUGAUAUUAUGCGAUUUUGAAGAUUUGAUAGGUUUUGUGCCUUACAUAACUUGAGUUUCUGCUUCAAUUAUUUGUUUUUUAUUUACAGGAUACUCAAGAAAAAUGUGCCUUUGAGAAAUUUCACUCCCUUCUAAUGCAAAAUUGUAAGUUUUACUUCUUUUUUCCAUGUCCUUAAAUUUAUGAUGUUUAUUUUAUUUAAAUGCUUUUUCAUUUGCGUUCAGUGUUGGAAAAAACUUUAGAUCUUUUUUCAACUGAUUCAUGGCUAAGUUUUUGUAUGGGGUCGAAUUUGGUUAUCAAUGUCCCCAUGAUUAAUGGGUACGUCCCAUGCAAAGUGAUGGCACGGCCCGGACGUGGGGUAAAGGCGAUGUCGUUUAGAACUUAACUUCUUCACUGAGCGGCACCUACUUUUGUACUUUUCUUUUGAUUAUUUCGAAGAAGGCCUCCUAUUACAUAAAGGAGACCUUCACAUUGUAACAUACAUGACAAUUAUUCUUGAAUAAUACAACUUCUCUCUCUAUCUCUAUCUCUUUCUCUGUCUUCUAUAAUUGCUUCUCUUUUAAGCUAAUAUUAUCUUUUUUAUCUUUUAGAUCUAGAACUACCAUAUUAUCGAUCUAACCUCUAGGUCAGAUUAUAUUUGAUUACGAUUUACCCUUAUUAUCUUUUGAUUUUUUUCUAAAGCUUGUAAAGUAUAUCGAUAACUUUUGAGCUAAACAAUUUGGCGCCGUCUGUGAGCAUUUCGAGAAUCAAAACCAUAGUUUGCACCUAGAGAACAACCGACAACUACUCUCUACUCCACACGAAUAAAAAUGACCGAAAACAACGCAAGAAUGAAGGAAAUAGUAGAUGUUGCAACCAACCUCAUCGGUCCUCUCAACGAAGCCGGUGAAGAAGGUGUUUCGGUUACAACCCCUAGCACCACUACGAGUGGGGAGAUCCCACCUCCCCCACCUGGAGAUAUGAUCUUGCAGGGAAAGGGUGCUUCUACAUCUUCAACUGAAGAAUUACCCCCAGAGGUCAAAAAGCUAUUGGGAGAAUGGCUAACAGGUGCCCUAAGUGGUCUGAUCGAAAAGUCACCACAAAGUAACUUCAAUUGUGCACCGAUAGUAGAUCUCAUCGCUGCCAUGGCUGAACCUGAAAUGGCAGGAGAAAAUGACAUGCCAGGUGAGAUACAGGACAACGAUGGCACGCUCACAUCCAUUCUUAAAAUGAUGGAGCAGAUGGAAAGCAAAAAACAGUCACUUCGUGACCAGAUGAAGGAACACCAGGACAGGGUAGACAAGAUCCUAGGUUCCCCCACGUUGCUGCCAAAAGGCGGCGGCGUAAGAUUCAUUGAACAACCCUACACUAAGGAGGCUGCCCCGUACUCCAUUCCGAAGACCUUCAAAAUGCCGCCCUACCUAAAAGUAUAUGACGGGACCACGGAUCCCGAGGAUCAUCUUGUCCACUAUGCCAUGGUUGUAAAGGGCAACGAACUAUCAAAGGAACAUGUACCAUCAGUGCUGCAGAAAAAGUUCGGUGAAACACUGACAGGAGGAGCCCUAACGUGGUACUCCCAACUACCGGCUAAGAUCAUUUCUACGUUCGAGGAAAUGGAGGACAAGUUCAUCACCGCCAUGCAGGAUCAAAGAAAGCAUAAGCAAGGGUUAAUGAUAUCUUCGUCGCCCGUCAAACCACAGGAGAAGGACUCGGGGACUUCCUAGCCAGGUUUAACAGGGUAAGGAUGAGUUUACCCAACGUAUUGGAAGGCAUGGCGGUGGCCGCUUUCAAAAAUGGACUAAGCAGAGAUGGUUCAAGGGCGACCAAAAAGCUACUAAGCCGUCUCAUGAAGUACCCUCCCACCACAUGGGAAGAAAUCCAUAAUGCCUAUUAUGCCGAGGUAAGAGCAAACGAGGAUGACCCAAUGGGCCGACCCAAUGGUUGACGACAAUACAUCCAUAAAUUAGAAGGGAUCGACGCAUCGAGGGACGGCGGGAACAAAAUCCGUGUCUCAACAAAGAAAGGCAUCAGCCUUUCGUCAGAUCCUCCCAUACGCCGCCACCAAGACACACGGAUGCACUUCAGCGACAUGUCGCUCCAUUCCGAAACGAAAGAGGUAUGCCUCCUUUAUUAUCCUCCCAUAAUUUUUGCGUGUCUCAUUCGUAGAUAGUGUGCGCACUAGAGAAGCUGAGCAGCAAGAACAAUGGCCGACGAAGAUGAAAUCAGACCCCACCACAAGGAAAUCAAAUGUCCUAUGUGAGUUCCAUUAGGAACGAGGGCACAAAAUUGAGAACUGUUAGACCUACGGAAAGAAGUGGUCAGAAUGCUAUCAAGGGUACCUGAGAGAGCUACUCAGUGAAAAAGGGAAAACCAACUUUGCACGCGGACGUGAGCAACCCCAUGGGCCGCCGAAGCCUCCCUCCCCAACACGUACGAUUAAUAUGAUCAUUGGAGGCAGUGACGACUCAGCAAUCAACCAUGUCAAUCUCACCACCACACAAAAACUGAAGCGAACCAUCGCCCACAAACGGUAUGACGACUUAGAAGAUAGUAUCACCUUUGAUAAGUCCGAUGCCAACGAUUAGUCUUUCCCUUACUAUGAUGCUUGAGUUAUCACUUUACAUAUCACAGAUACAGAUGUUAAAAGAAUCCUGAUUGAUGACACAAGCGGCGCCUGUAUUAUCCACCCAAGGGUCCUCACACAAAUGGGACUCGAGGACAAGAUAAUACCGCGAUGUAUAACACUAACUGGUUUUAAUAAUACAGUGGAACGGGCCUCCAGAGAAAUAUCCAUGCCCGUUUUAGCGGGAUGAGUCAUGCUGGAAACAAUUUUCCACGUGAUAGACCAAAAAACAACAUACAAUUCCAUCAUAGGACGCCCAUGGAUACACACCAUGCGAGCAGUUUCGAUAAGCUUUUACCAAAUGAUCAUAUUCCCUACCCCAUUGGGAAUAUUCAACAUCCGAGGCGAGCCACGCACCGCAAGGGAAUGCUACAAAAUAGCUCAAGAUUUCGCCCACACCAAACAACUUAAGGGGGCGAGUGUAGAGGCAUAGCAAUCAGCGAUGUCGGGGACCAAGGUCGACCCGACAAGGGACGCCAUUAAAGAUCCUGAUACCGUAGAGGCUUGUAAAGCUACGGUCGAAGAUCUCGACCUAGUCCAAUUGGACGACGCCAACCUCACGAAGAAAGCCUACAUCGGGCAUGGCCAUACAAAUCCAAGUAUGUAUAUUGAAUGUUUACUAACCAUGCAGAUCUGUUCGCUUUUUCCAAUUCAGAUAUGCCAGGGAUCCCACGAGACAUCGCCACUCACAAGCUAAACAUUGAUCCAUUACACCCGCAUAUGCGGAAAGUGAGGAAGAAAUUCAAUGUCGCUCUUAACGAAGCGGUCAGUGAGGAAGUAAACAAACUACUGGCCAACAGCUCCAUCGGGGAAUCAAAAUACCCCCAAUGGAUCGCCAAUGUUGUCAAGGUCAAAAAGAAAUAUAGGAAGUAAAGAAUGUGCUUAUACUUCACCGACCUAAACAAGGCGUGCCCAAAGGAUUCAUUUCCACUUCCCCACAUCGACCAACUAAUCGAUGCUACCACAGGAGAUGAGCUGCUAAGCUUCCUAGACGCUUAUUCCGGCUACAGUCAGAUCAUGAUGGCCGAAGAGGACCAGGAAAAAACAACUUUCAUCACCCACCAAGGGACAUAUUGCGACAAGGUAAUGCCCGUCGAGCUAAAAAAUGCAGGAGCUACGUACCAGAGACUGGUCACCAAGAUGUUCAAAGAACAACUCGGUAAAACCAUAGAAGUCUACAUCGACGACAUGCUGGUAAAAUCAGCAAAUAAAGAGGACCACAUCAACAACCUGAAGGAAUCCUUCGAGAUAUUGAGGAGAUAUGGAAUGAAGCCGAACCAUGAGAAGUGCACAUUCGGCGUGGCCUCAGGGAAAUUCUUAGGGUUUCUCGUAUCACAACGAGGCAUCGAGGUCAACCCAGACCGGAUCAAGAUGAUAGACGCCAUACCUCAGGUGUUGAACAUCAAAAAAUAGGUACAAAAGCUAACAAGGCGGAUAGCCGCUCUAUACAGAUUCAUCUCGCGGUCCUCCCACAGGUGCCAUAAAUUUUUCAAUGUGCUGAAAAAAGAUCAAGGGUUACAAUGGAAUGAAGAAUGCGUCGAAGCCUUGAGAAAGUUAAAAGUGUACCUAUCCUCACCGCCCCUGCUAGUCAAAGCGAGCCCAGGCGAACCUCUGCUGGUGUAUCUGGCCGUAUCCGAGGUAGCCGUUAAUGCAGUCUUGGUCCGCGAAAAUGAAGGUUCGCAAUCUCCUAUUUAUUACAUUAGAAAAACGUUAGUGGACGCCGAAACACGAUAUCCACACCUUGAGAGAUUAGCUCUGGCAUUGGUCGUGGCUUCACGGAAGCUCCGACCCUACUUUCAAUUCCACCCCAUAAAAGUGGUGACGACCUUCCCAUUGAGAAAGGUCCUACACAAGCCUGAAUUAUCAGGUGGGUUUGCCAUAUGGGCCAUUGAGCUCAGCGAGCACGACAUCUCAUACCACCCAAGAACCGCCAUAAAAUCGCAAGUACUUGGCGAUUUUAUAGCGGAUUUCAACGUAGAAAUCCUACCAGAGGCGGAACGCGAGGUACAAUGUGACUCCUCCCAUACCGACCUACGAACUCUCUACAGUGACGGUGCCGCCAAUGCAUCGGGGUCAGGACUGGGACUCAUUCUCGUGGUUCCAACAUGCGAAAAAAUUUGCCAAUCCAUACGAUGUCCCAAAACGACUAACAACGAGACCGAGUACGAGGUCGUUAUCGCAGGUAUGAAACUAGUCAUCAAGUAUGGGGCUCGACAAAUCAUCCUUCAUUGCGACUCCUAACUUGUGGUGAAUCAGGUCAUUGGGACUUACCAAAUAAAUAAAACAAAGGCUGCAGAAGUACUAGUCAGAAAUCCACAAGCUGAUGGCCUAGUUCGACGAGUGCCGCUUCGAGCAGAUUCUAAAGGCACAGAACGUCGAAGCAGACGGCCUAAAGAAACUUGCCACGGCCACUAAAAACUUUCACAAAGAGAGCGUGGUCACCCUCCUCCACUCAGCCAUCGACCAUACUGAGGUAUUCUCUUCAAAUCUGACUUGGGACUGGCGCAACUAGUUUGUAUCCUACCUACAGGAUGAAACACUGCCACUCGGCAAAAAAGAGGCAAAGAAACUCUGCGUACAAGCUGCCUGGUAUUGCCUGUUAAACGUCCUCUACAAAAGGACGUUCGGCAGACCCUUGGCCAAGUGUCUAGGGCCGUAUCAAACGAGGUCAGUGCUCGUAGAAAUGCACGAGGGUCACUAUGGUGCCCACACAGGUAACCGCGCCCUUGUACGAUACCUCAUACGGGCUGGCUAUUACUGGCCUGCCAUGAAGAAAGAAGCAGCAGAAUACGUUCGCUGGUGCGAACAGUGCCAAAAAUAUGCCCUCGUGAUAUACCAACCGGGAGAACCUCUCCACUCGGUCACAUCUCCAUGUCCCUUCAUCAAGUGGGAAAUGGAUAUAGUCGAACCCCUUCUCGCGGGACGAGGAAAGGUACAAUUUCUACUAGUUUCAACUGACUAUUUCUCCAGGUGGGUGGAAGUACGUGCGUACGCUCUAAUACGCGAAUAGGAGGUCAUUGCCUUAAUAUGGAAAAAUAUCAUAUCCCGCUUCGGCAUCCCCAAGGAAAUCAUCUGCGACAACGUACGACAAUUUAUUGGUCAAAAGAUAACAAAAUUCUUCAAAAAACGGCAUAUCAAGCGAAUACUCUCAACGCCAUACCAUCCUGCCGCCAAUGGUCAAGCAUAAUCCUCCAACAAGACAAUACUAAAUAUACUAAAAAAGAAACUUGAGGAAGCCAAAGGGCUAUGGCCUGAGCUACUACCAUAAGUAUUAUGGGCCCAUCGGACUACACCAAAAUCCAGCACAGAAGAAACACUGUACUCACUGGUCUAUGGAACCGACGCGGUUAUACCAGUCGAGGUCGGUGAACCAAGCUUGAGGUACUCGCACACCAGGGGAAUAGAAAAUGACAUGAACAGGCUCCAGGACCUCGACGAAGCCGAGGAAAGGAGAAAAAUGGCCCACAUCAGAAUGGUGGCCCAAAAACAACAGGUUGAAAGGUACUACAACAAGAGGGCCAAGAUAAGACCACUCAAAGUGGGAGACUAUGUCCUCAAAAAAAUCCAGCACAGAAGAAACACUGUACUCACUGGUCUAUGGAACCGACGCGGUUAUACCAGUCGAGGUCGGUGAACCAAGCUUGAGGUACUCGCACACCAGGGGAAUAGAAAAUGACAUGAACAGGCUCCAGGACCUCGACGAAGCCGAGGAAAGGAGAAAAAUGGCCCACAUCAGAAUGGUGGCCCAAAAACAACAGGUUGAAAGGUACUACAACAAGAGGGCCAAGAUAAGACCACUCAAAGUGGGAGACCAUGUCCUCAAAGCAAAGACAUUGGCAUCCAAAGACCCAAGCGAAGGAAAAUUGGGCACUAAUUGGGACGGACCCUACAAAAUCAUAGCAUCAGCCAAUAACGGAGCAUUACAGUUGGAAACAAUGGAAGGGACAAUGCUACAAAACAAUUGGAAUGUCGCCCACCUCAAGUAUUUUCAUUUCUGAAAGGCGUCUCCCGAGUCAUACUCUUUUUCCCAUACCCGAGUUUUGUCUCAAUUGGGUUUUCUCGGAUAGGUUUUUAACGAGGCUGUGGAAGGGACACCUGGAGAUAUUUUCGGAACAAGUUUAUCAUAUCAGCCUCUCCAUACGCUCUCCAGGCCGACAUGAUAAAGCUGGACUAUCAUUAUCUCCAAUGUAUAAAUGGCUAUGGUCAUCUCCAAUGUAUAAAUGGCUACGACCAUCUCCAAUGUAUAAAUGACUACGGCCAUCUCCAAUGUAUAAAUGGCUACGUCCAUCUCCAAUGUAUAAACGACCACAACCAUCUCCAAUGUAUAUGCGGCUACGGUCAUCUCCAAUACAUAAAUGGCUACGGUCAUCUCCAACGUGCAAGUGGCUAAGGCCAUCGCUGCCAACAGUCGACCCAGUUCAACUACAGAAAGCAAGUGAUUCAACGACAAUCAAAGUCACCCAUAUGUCCAAGGCCAUCAACAAGAUAUGACCAAGGUCAUUAACUUAAUUCUGGCCAAGGCCAUUGAAUUCACCAUGGCUAAGGCCUUCGCCGCCAACAGUCAACCCAGUUCGACUACGGCAAGCAAGUGAUUCGAUGACAAUCGAAGUCAACCAUAUGGCCAAGGCCAUCAACAAGUUAUGACCAAGGUCAUCAACUUAAUUUUGUCCAGGCCAUCGAAUUCAUCAUGGUUAAGUCCUUCACCGCCAACAGUCGACCUAGUUCGACUACAACAAGCACGUGAUUCGACGACAGUCGAAGUAACCCAUAUGGCCAAGGCCAUAACUAAGUUAUGACCAAGGUCAUCAACUUAAUUCUGGCCAAGGCCAUCGAUUCAUCCUAGCUAAGGCCUUUGCCGCCAACAGUCAACGCAGUUCGACUACGACAAGCAAGUGAUUCGACGACAAUCUAAGUCACCCAUAUGGCCAAGGUCAUCAACAAGUUAUGACUAAGGUCAUCAACUAAUUCUGGCGAAAGCCAUCGAAUUCAUCAUGGCUAAGGCCAUCGCCGCCAACAGUCAACCCAGUUCGGCUACGGUAAGAAAGUGAUUCAACGACAGUCGAAGUCACCCAUAUGGCGAAGGCCAUCAACAAGUUAUAACCAAGGUUAUCAACUUAAUUCUCGCCAAGGCCAUCGAAUUCAUAUUGGCUAAGGCCUUCGUCGACCGAGUUCGACUACAGUCGAAGUCACCCAUAUGGCCAAGGUCAUCAACAAGUUAUGACCAAGGUCAUAAACUUAAUUCUGACCAAGGCCAUCGACUUCAUCAUGGCUGAGGCCAUCGUCGUCAGACAUCGACCCAGAUCGACCACGACAAAUAAGAGAGUGACUCGACGACAGUCAAUGUCACACUCACGGCUAAGGCCAUCAAAUUAUAUGGCUAAGGCCAUCCACGUUAUCAUUGGUCAAGGCCAUUGAGAUCGGCUACGACAAACGACCCGACAUAGGCCAAAAACACACGUAUAGCUAAGGCCAUCAAUUUUAAACAGCGACCUAGUUCGAUCGUUCUCCACGAAUCACCGACCUAGUUUGACUGCGGCAUAAAGCACGUGAACAUCAAGCAAAAAUGUAAAAAAAGUCCAACAAGUAAACGAGUGCCCGCUCUACGAAGACAUGACGCCAAAAAGUAAAAGAGCAAAUGGAAGAAUAAAUUAGCAGAAAGCUAUACUUCAUUAUCUAUAAAACAAUACAUGUACAUCCGACCCUGAAAAAGGCCCCGGUUACAUACAAAAAAAAAUACACAAGCCCUAAGAGCCUUUGCCGCUUCGUCCACCAUACCCUGCUUUGCCGCCAUUUGGUCCGCCAUCGCCCCAAGAGGAUAAGUCUUAAAGAUCCAAGAGUCAUACUCUAGACGGUUGACGUCUUUAUAGUUACAGCCUGUCCUAUUAGGAGAGUUAGAGCUAUAACUACAAGCGGCACGGGCGAUACCGGCUAAGCGCCGUUGCUCCUCAACCUCCGCCUCAGUGGCUCGACCAACAGAAAAGUAAUCUUCGAGUACGACCAAUCUAGUCUCGCAUACACCCACAUUUCGUGUGCCUCACAAUGCGCGUCUUCUUCGGGCUUUGAUAAGGCGGCCCGCUCAAGGGUCUCCACUUCAGUCGCCUUGGCAUCGAGCUCAACAGUCCAAGUGGCAACUCUGGUGUGCAAUUGAGCUGCCUCCGCCGCUACUCCACGGUUGAUCUCCAGCUCCUCUUCUUUUGAUUGAAGGAGAGUCUCUAGAUCGAUGUUUCGAGCCAAAGCAGCCAUCAAUUGCUCGUCGACCUGCUCCAACUCGGCCACCCUCUGCUUCAAUUGAGCUUCCGAUUGUUCAAGACCCUCACAGAACACAUGAAAUUAAGGGUCAUGCUUGAGCACAUCUGCCAAUAUCUUAUGCUUGGCACGACAUUCCUUGUACUUCUUAGCCAUUUUGUUGAAGGAGGUCGCCUUCCUUUUCUCACGCUGCUUCCUCUCCACCUCCAAGACAAAGGUCUAAGAAGAAGAGGAAAGAAAGGAAAUACAUGUCAGUAUGUACCAAUGUCUCCUUUACAACCAUAAAAGAAAAACUGAAAGCUACCUGCAAAGCUGCACCGGCGACCCUCCUAGACAAAUCCCUGUUACUAAUACAUUUCAACAUUUCAUGCUUCGUAGCUGCACAAAACAAGGUCAUUUUUGUUGCGGCUUGCUCGCUAUUUUCUAACAAGUUAUACCUACCAGGGAUCACGAUUUGGCGGGUAGACCUUCCUGCCCUCAUCUCCACAUGGGCUGAACCCCCCGUUACAUCUCCAAUAGUGGCCUCAGGGGCCAUCCUCUCAAUCUCUACGCCCGCUUCCCCAACUGCAGAAGACAAACCACCCUCUAAGACGCGGGUUGAGCUAGCAACGAUGGUAGUUCUCCUUCAGGGAGCCAACAUCGGAUGGCCUCGGCCAUAAAAACUGGCCUUGACUCUCGACGGGUCUCGCUAGGCCUCACGUCCUCAGUCGCAAUCCCCUUACCAGUAAUCCGCCGCCGCCUCCUUCUCUCUAGUGGCUCUUCGCCUUCAGAAGCCUCUGCCACAGGCCUCGUGGACGACUCUGGGAACCACUUCAUUAGCGUUUGUGGCCUCAAGCCCAUCACAGGCAUGACCUCAGGUGUCAUUACCGGCGCAGUCCCCCGAGAACUUAUAGGAGCGCUGGGCGAGCCGCGUGAUACGACUUCAUCAUCUGAGUUGACCUCCGCCCUAUACGGGGCAACUACGGACUUCUUCCUUUUCGAAACAACCCAACCUGCCAACACAAGCGAGUCAAGUAACGAAAAUUUAAGAGGCUUUCGAAUCAAAGAAAAAAUAAAUUAAAAAAAAAACUACCUGGCGGGCCGUAUUGGCUACGGAACGCGGGCCAAGCGGCACUCCUCCGCAUAUGGUAUCAACCCCUCUACCCACGAUCUAAUAUUUUCGAUGGACCGAGGUGGAGAAGCCUCCACUACAAAAAAGAGAAAAAGAAGUCACAACGACUCGAGAGUCAGAACCCCAAUUAAUCACGAAAUGCACACAAGGAUACUUACAUUCUGAGUUCCAUCUCUCUGGGAACCAUUCAGGAUCAGACACCAGGUGCUCCGUCUUGAUGUAGAAAUAUCUUUUCCAGAAGCCGCGAUUGGCCUUAUCGUCAGACUUCACUACAAAGCUCUUCGUACCACGACUCUUCAAAUGGAGCAUGGUACACCCUCAAAUAUCUUGGGCUGAACAUCUGCAGAAGAUGAUGAACCGAGACCUCGCUCCUCGCACUGUCCCCGUACGUUGUAAGGAUUCUACUCACCUUUAAUGUAUAGGGCGUAAGCUGGGCCAAACACACCCUGUAAAAGCGGCAUAGAUCCUCCGCUAAAGGGUUAAAUGGUAGGUUGUAUCCGAUCCUAAAUGGAUACUCAUAAAAAGUACAAAACCCAGGCCUAUGCGCAUUGGCAUAGUCCAUCCCAGCCGGAACCAUUUCUACAUGACCCGGAAUGUUGUACGUUGAUCGAAGGGUUUCUAAGUGGAAUUGUCGCAGUUCAUUGUGUUCCCAAGGAAUAAAUGCGCUCUUCAUUUUAAAAUCACUUCAAACGUGCAUCUCCUUCGGAAGAACAUUCUCUACAGAGAGGGAAAUGAGCGCCUUUUUUGUCUCCUCCGCUUCGCUGCCAGAAGAGGGCGGAACCCUAGAUGGAGUGGUACCCUUGGUUUUCUAGCUACUUUGGCGUUUUACCAUGAUGUUUCGUCUAAGAAAGAAAGAAAGUGCUUAUCAGAAGAAAUGAAGCUUCAGAGAGAUAGAAGAGUCCCACACGAAAAUAUCAGUUAUCGGAGAGAAAGGCAAUGAAGAAAGUUGAGAAAUACUUUCCAAAAGUUCGAAAGAUGAAUCAAUUCGAACCUUUCCCUUAUUUAUAGGGUAACAUUGCGUGGAAAUCGAAAAGGCAUGACAAAAACGGACGCGGGAAACCACAACGUCACGUCACCACCCGAACCACCUCGGGAACAAAGGUAAUAAUGAUGCAUGCUACUGAUGACAUCAUUCCGAAAUGAGAUCAUACGUCAACAGUUCAAAUGUGUCAUGCAUUUUUGUCUCAUUCGUGCUAAAGUACGAGGAUGUGGCCAAAUUCUCUUAAGACGAGGCUUAUAAUUCCAUUCAUUGAAGACGUUCACCAGGUACGUCUCCAACGAACGGAGGGACUAACUAUAUGGCGUCGAAUUUGGCCCUCAACGUACCCAUGAUUAACGGGUAUGCCCCAUGAAUGAUGCCGACAAAAGUGAGGGCACGGCCCGGGCGGGGGNNNNNNNNNNNNNNGCUUAGCAUGACAAAAACGGACGCGGGAAACCACAACGUCACGUCACCACCCGAACCACCUCGGGAACAAAGGUAAUAAUGAUGCAUGCUACUGAUGACAUCAUUCCGAAAUGAGAUCAUACGUCAACAGUUCAAAUGUGUCAUGCAUUUUUGUCUCAUUCGUGCUAAAGUACGAGGAUGUGGCCAAAUUCUCUUAAGACGAGGCUUAUAAUUCCAUCCAUUGAAGACAUCCACCAGGUACGUCUCCAACGAACGGAGGGACUAAUUAUAUGGCGUCGAAUUUGGCCCUCAACGUACCCAUGAUUAACGGGUAUGCCCCAUGAAUAGAUGCCGACCAAAGUGAGUGCACGGCCCGGACGUGGGGGUAAAGGCGACGUGGUUUAGAACUUAACUUCUUCACUGAGCGGAAGUCACAUACUUUUGUACUUUUCCUUUGAUUAUUUCGAGGAAGGCCUCCUGCUAUAUAAAGGAGACCUUCACAUUGUAACAUGCAUGAUAAUUAUUCAUGAAUAAUACAACUUUUCUCUCUAUCUCUGUCUCCUAUAAUUGCUUCUCUCUUAAGCUAAGAUUAUCUUCUUUAUCUUUGAGAUCUAGAACUACCAUAUUAUCGAUCUAACCUCUGGUCAGAUUAUAUUUGAUUGCGAUUUACCCUUAUUAUCUGUUGAUUGUUUUCUAAAGCUUGCAAAGUAUAUCAAUAACUUUUGAGCUAAAAAGUUUUUUUCUCUUAUUCUAUGAUUCAUUGAAUAUUUUUAAUUACUAACUGUAAAUGCAUUUUUAUAUGUUUUGAUAAUUCAAAUAUAAGUUUCUCACAAGAUCUGUUAUUGCAAUAUUUCAGUCCAGUGAGAGCGCUUCAGAUAUUUUUGGAUGCAUGAAGAUCAAGGGGUUGCGAUGAAGGUGGCAACAUGAAUCAUCAAGCAAAUACUUAUGUUCAUUGCAAAAUUUUGUACAUUAUUUCUCAUCUAUGUUAUAAUCAAGCCUCAUAUUGGCUAGUUUUUCCUUCAAUUUUUUAUUAUUG
rnacentral:lncRNA from 1 species